AUUGCACAAUGGGCGAAAGCCUGAUGCAGCAACGCCGCGUGAGCGAUGAAGGCCUUCGGGUCGUAAAGCUCUGUCCUCAAGGAAGAUAAUGACGGUACUUGAGGAGGAAGCCCCGGCUAACUACGUGCCAGCAGCCGCGGUAAUA
rnacentral:rRNA from 1 species